rnacentral:rRNA from 1 species
UACAGAGGGUGCAAGCGUUAAUCGGAAUUACUGGGCGUAAAGCGUGCGUAGACGGUUAUUUAAGUCAGGUGUGAAAGCCCCGGGCUAAACCUGGGAAUUGCAUUUGAGACUGAAUAGCUAGGGUGCGGAAGAGGGAAGCGGAAUUUCCGGUGUAGCGGUGAAAUGCGUAGAUAUCGGAAGGAACACCAGUGGCGAAAGCGGCUUCCUGGUCCAGCACCGACGUUCAGGCACGAAAGCGUGGGGAGCAAACAGG